AAACCAAUCAAACUAUAUAGAACCAACUAACAUUUUGUUUAUUAAUCUGAAUACCCUGAAAUUUUAUGAUUUAGUUGAAUAUAAAAUGGCACAGAUAAUGUAUAAAGCACAAAAUAACUUGCUUUGCCCCAGUACUCAGAAGCUGUUCAAAGUCAGAGAGAGUCAAUAUGACUUAAGGGGAACAGAUUUCUUAAAAAAAAACAAGAUAAGGACAAAUAUAAAGCAGAGAUGUGUUUCUGUUAGAGGAGUUAACCUGUGGAAUAGUUAUGACAGCGAUUUAAAAAGGUGUAGUUCAUUUUCCUUGUUUAAAAAUAUGUUUAAAAAUAGAGUAUUAGAAAAAUAUAUAUAUCAAGAAUGAAAAGAGCAAAAAAAAAAAAAAACCCAAAAAAACCUCUUGAUUCUUUUGCUUUGAUGUAGUUACUUAUCUAAGGUGGAAAGUUUUUUUUUCUUUUUUUCUUGUUUGUUUGUUUGUUUGUUUGUUUGUUUUUUUGCUUUGGUUUAUUAUUUGCUUUGAGCCCUGUGUACAGGAGCUGCAUGCAAAACGAUCUUUUGUUAAAAGGGUUGGCGUAAUAAGCAAAUGCUUCAGCCAAUACCUUUUGAUUAGCCUUGUCUCAUGCUUUCUUGCUUUGUGUUAGAUCUUUGUUCUGUCUUCACUGAGAUAUUUGAAUGCUAAUCAAUCAAAUCAAAUCAAAAUAUAGAUUUUGACAGAAAACCAUAGAGGCCUGUAAAAACUCUUUUUACAUGACUUGUGUUUUAUUUAUUUUAUAUAUUCAUUUAUUCUAGAGUAAAGGUUGGUUUUUAGUCUUUGUUCGACUUCUGAAUUCUCUCUCAAUUCCUUUUGUAUUCUUUACAAGUAAGUAUUCUUCUUAUUUUUAGACUUUUUUACUUUUGAUUCCAAGAAUCCUGAGUUUACUUUUGAUUAUUAUGGUGAUGGGUGUCAGUUAUGCAAAUCAGUGUUUUGGUGUAUUUUAUUGGUAGUAGUUUUAAUUUCCUGCUUUCCUGUCUGUUCCUCCCUCUGUUUUGUCUUUCAUUUCAGACCUGUUCUAGUUUUUCUGUCCAGCCUAUUCUCUUUUUAGUAUUUUUUUUUAGUUUUUUUUUUCCUGUUUUACUUUGAAGGUUUGUUCUCUUCAAAGCCUUGUGUCAAUUUUACUUCCUCCUUUGGGAUCCUCUUGAUUAGUCGUGUCCAAAUUCAUGGGCUGCAUCCUCCUGAGGACCCGCCCUUCACGGUCUACGUGGGCCGGGUCCUCAGAAGGUUGGGUAGGCCGGAAGUAAACGGCCUUCUGAUUAGCGUCACCGCUGUCUCGGUGGACUUUAAUAAACUCGGCCAUCUGCUCCUUGCUAUCUAAAAUAUAACAGGACACUGGCAUAAAUUCUCGACUAUCUCACACUUCUGUUUAAUCAGUUUUCUGUUUGACGUUUAUUAAGCUGUGUGAAAACCAAGGAGGAACCCACCCAGAGGAUUAAUAAAGUUUUAUUUAAUUUAAUCUAAUCUAAUAACUUUAAUCUCAGCCAAACCGAUUUACUCACGGACAAGUAAAACACUGAAAAAAGACAAACAAUAACAUUUUUAGGUUGUCUAAGUGACUUAUAUAUAACGUUUAACCUGAGUAGCAAAAGUACACGGUGAUCGUAGUUGUGCCGUUCUCGGCGGCUUCAAUGACCCUCAAGCUCCCGGCUAGCUAUCGAGCUCGUGGAUAACAGACGUCUCCGAAAACGUCGAAGCGCUUUUGAAAAUAUGCGAUGUCUUAAUAAUCCGAACAGAUAUUUGAAGUUUACACACCAACAUUCUCGCUUGAAAAUAUGUUAAAAGUUUAUUUUGUGAACCAGAAAGAUUAA
ensembl:lncRNA